CUGCCCCCACCGCGGGCACGUGACCUGCCGCCCUGGGGCCCGGGAGGACUGCGGCCGCGGAACGUCGUAGAGGAUCAGGGAAGGUUCAGGGUCGACCUCCAGACUCAGUCCUUGGGUUGGGUGGCAGGGUGGGGGCACUAGGGUGGAGAGAUCUCGAGUUUAGGCCAUAACAAAGAUCAGAAAGAGAACAGCCCGAGAGAGAGGUGGCCCACCUUGGCCCCGGAGCUUGGGAGGGCGGGUCCCUGCUGAGGUUCGUGGGAUCUGGACCCACUCGCCCCCCGGGACGCGAGCGCGGCGGGGACCCGGGACGCGAGCGCGGCGGGGACCCGGGCGCGCGAGGCUGCGCCGAGAGAGGGCGCCGGCCCAGGUGCGGCCUCUGGGUGUGGCCGAAGCCAGCCCAGGCGGCCCGGAUUGUCGUCCUCUGCGGAAGCGGCCCAGGCGCGGGAGCCGCGGGCGUCGCCAGCUCCGGAGCCCCGCGCCUCCGCCGCCCCGCGCGCCCUUCCUUUGUGUCUCCCAAGCAGGGGUGAACGCCAACCACUUGGAUUUGAUUUUUCCGUGCGAGUUCCCUUUUUUCCAAGUUCGGGGCCCCUCCUUCCCCCAGCGGCGCGCGCCCCCGGGGUGUCCGCCCCCUCCCCCUCCGGCCCAGCCCUGGGCGGGGCAGACGCCCUUGGAGUCGGGAGAAAAGACUAUCUGAUUUCAAAACCGACGCGACCCGAGCUGGGCUGCGGAAAUGGCGCCCAUGUCCCGGCUCCGGCCAGGUCGUGAUCAGGAGACAGAGCCAUAAGGAAUUAAUGAUCUUAGCUACCGGGCUGGGAGCAGUGGCUCACACCUGUAAUCCCAGCACCUUGGCAAGCCAAGAUGGGAGGAUCGCUUGAGGCCAGGAGUUCGAGACCAGCCUGGGCAACAGUGAGGCCCUGUCUCUACAACAAACAAGCAAACAAACAAACAAGAACAACAACAAAAAAAAACUCAGCUACCACUUCAUGAGUAUCUAUGCUGCGCCAGGGACUACUUCAGGGGUGAAGGGAGCGUGCCCUUUCUAAAACCUCCCAGCUGUACAGUUCCAAUGACAGAAACUUCACUCUGCUGUCCACACCACUCUUCCAACGAGACCUAGCCUGGAUUCUAGGCAGGGAAUAACAUCAGGGCUCAAUCAGAGUAGCCUGUAUGCCUCUGAAGGACAGUGUCCUGCAAAAGGUUCUCCACCUGGUACAAGAAGAGUGGCCCAGAGAAAGGUCAGUUUAAGGCAACUGGAUUUCCCAAGUCCCAAAGCAGGAAAUCUGGUCUGACAAGCACGGGAUUCUCGUCUGAAAUUAGCCCAGCCCUGGAAAACCUGUGGCUGGGGGUUGCUGUCAUCAGAAAGAACCUGUACUUCCGGGUUUGUUUUGGUUGGGAAGGAAGGAGCUGGAGCAGCCAACCUGGCUUCUCAGAGCUUCCAUAUUUAACCCAUCAGGGCCCAAGGCUCCCAGGUGUAGAAGCGACUUUAGAGAUACCUAUGAGGAAACAGAAGCUCCAAGAAGGUAAAGACCUUCUCCCAGGCCACAGAGCCAGUAAAUGGCUGAGCCAGGGUUAGGAGGAAGGAAACUAACAUUUAUAUAGCACGUGCCCUAUAUCCAGAGCCUCACCCGGCAAAGGAGGUGUUAGUAACCCCAUUCUGCUCAUGAGAUUCAGAGAAGCUUAGUGAGUGGCCGAUAUCACCGAGCUACUAAGAGGCAGAGACACUAUUAAAAUAUAGGCCUACAGCUGGGCGUGGUGGCUCACACCUGUAAUUCCAGCACUUUGGGAGGCUGAGGCGGGUGGAUCACGAGGUCAGGCAUUCGAGACCAGCCUGGCCAACAUGGUGAAAAUCUGUCACUACUAAAUAUACAAAAAUCAGCCUGGCGUGGUGGCGUGUGCCUGUAAUCCCAGCUACUCAGGAGGCUGAGGCAGGAGAAUAGCUUGAACCCUGGGGGCGGAGGUUGCAGUGAGCCGAGAUUGCGCCACUGCAUUCUAGCCUGGGUGACAAAGCGAGACUCCAUCUCAAAAAACAAACAAACAAAACAAAACAAAACCUGACUCUUCAACAAUCUACAGUUCUUCCUGAGCCCUUAUCUGCCAUGCUCAUCUAUGUAUCCCCAGUGCCUGAUACUGAGGAGUGUUCAAAACUCAUUUAAUAUCGGGAGAUUCGCCGGAUGCGGUGGCUCACGCCUGUGAUCCCAGCACUUUGGGAGGCCGAGGCGGGUGGAUCAUGAGGUCAGGAGUUCAAGACCAGCCUGGCCAAGAUGGUGAAACCCCGUCUCUACUAAAAAUACAAAAAUUACAGUGUGCCUGUAAUCCCAGCUACUCGGGAGGCUGAGGCAGGAGAAUCGCUUGAACCUAGGGGGCGGAGGUUGCAGUGAGCCGAGAUCACACCACUGCACUCCAGCCUGGGUGACAGAGUGAGACUCAAUCUCAAAAAAAAAAAGUAUCGGGAGAUUGAGGUGGGAGGAUGGCUUGAGCCCAGGAGGUUGAGGCUGCAGUGAGCCUUGAUUACACCACUGCACUCUAGCCUGGGCUACAAAGCCAAGCCCUAUCUCAGAAGAGAAAAAAAAAAAAAAAGAGGCAUUUAAUGAAUGAAUGAGUCACACCUUGCUCUUCCCACUCUGCCGCACCUCCAUCCAGAUUCACUCUGUUCAAAGUUGAUAGAUGUUCUGGGGCUUUCACAUAGUUGUCAUGGUAACUGAACUUUUAGAACUUUUAGAAAUAACAGCUGCAGGCAAUCCAGGACAAAAACAGUGGACCUGUUUCUUGCUAAACAGGUUACGGCUCUUCUGUCCAAGCUGACAAGGGUUAACACAAAGCAGCAAAGGCUAGAAGAGAUUUCCUAACACAGCUUUACGGUUAUUGGCCAUUGUUAUUGACCAAGGACCCCUUUGUUUGCCCCAAUACCACCACCUUCACCACAGAUCCAUGUUUUAGAAAACUUGUCUAUUGAGAAUACCUGCCUUUAAGUGCUAACUAAGCUGUAACUCCACUCUUUACACAUCAACAAUUUUCAAGCUACUGUCAGAGCUUCAUAUCAGCAGGAGAUCACCACCAUUACCCCACUGAGCUAAUAGCAUUUUAGCUCAAAGCAGGAAAUCUUGGAGCAUUUUAUUUUGCUAGUUAGUGCAAGCAAGCCUGUAGAAUUUGGACUUCUUGAAAUAUUGAAAAUACCUACUUAAGACCAUUUCUAACAAAAUUAGAAAUGAAAUGAGAAAAUAACCAUAGCUACAAAGAACCCUAAAAGGACUGUGAUUAUUACACAAAUAAAUGAGAAAGCCUGGCCAGGCGCAGUGGCUCACACCCGUAAUUCCAGCACUUUGGGAGGCCAAGGCAGGCAGAUCGCUUGAGCUCAGGAGUUAGAGACCAGACUGGGCAACAUGGCGAAAGCCCGCCUCUACAAAAAAAUACAAAAUAUUAGUCGGGUGUGGUGGCGCAUGCCACCUACCCAGCUAUCCAGGAAGCUGAGGUGGGAGGAUUGCUUGAGCCCAGGAGGUCGAGGCUGCAGUGAGCUGUGAUUGUGCCACUGGACUCCAGCCUGGGGGACAGAGAGAAAACCUAUCUCAAAAAAAAAAAAAAAAAAAAAAGAAGAUUAAUUUGAAAUAAAAUAGAAGACCUACAUUUUGACCCAGCAAUCCCGUUCUAGGAAUUUAUCUUACAAAUAUAUUUGUAUAUUAAUUCAACAGUUUUUUUUUUAGUCUUUGUUCUGCUAAAUGCUAUGCUUAUAUUUGCUUCUUUUUAAAAAUUUUCUUUCUGUCUCUCUCUCUCUCUCUUUUUUUUUAAUAGAGAUGGAGUCUCGCUAUGUUGCCUAGGCUAGUCUUGAACUCCUGGGCUUGGCCUCCCAAAGUCCUGGGAUUACAGGCAUGAGCCACCAAACCUGGCCCUUCAGCAAUUAUUAUUUUAGUAUCAGUUACCUUUCUGGUGCCAGGAAUACAAAUCAGUGAACAAAUUGGACAAAACCAAAACAAAACAGCAACAAAACCCCUUGCAAUCUGGUGGUAGGAAACAGACAAUAAACAGAAUCAAAGAGUAAAUUAUAUAUACUCUGUCUGAAGGUGAUGAUUGCUAUAUGAAAAAAAUUGAACAGGAUAGGGAGAUUGAGAAGGCUGGGUGAGCCUCUUGGAGAAAGAAGGCAGUGAGGGAGUGAGCCAUGUGAAUAUGGGUGGUGGGGAGGAAAGGGCAAAGUCCCUGUGGUAGGAUCGAACCUGGUGUGUACACACAAAAGGAGUCAUGCGCAAGAUUUCAUUACAGUGAUGGUGGUAACAGCAAAGGAUUCAAAGUCUAAGUAUUCAUCUGUAAGGGACCAAUUAAACAGGGUAUGGUACAUCUACCAAUGGAAUACUAUGCAGCUAUACAAAAGAAUAAGGAAAAUCUAUGAAGUGUGAAAGGAAGAUCUCUGGAAUAUAUUGUUUAGUGAAAAAAAGCAAGGAGCAGAAUAGAUUAUAUGGUAUGCUAACUUUGAGUAAAAAAAAAGGAGGGAAAUAAAUAUUAUAAAGAUGCCAAUUAUUUCUCAAUUAAUUUAUAAAUUAAUUGUGAGACCCCCCAAGAAACAGAAAAGCUGGUUUUAAGGACGAAGAGAAUUCAUAGCUGGGUGUGGUGGCUCACACCUGUAAUUUCUGCACUUUAGGGAGGCUGAGGCAGAUGGAUCGCUUGAGCCCAGAAGUUCAAGA